AGGGAAAUGUGUGGAAUUGGUAGACCGGAUUAGUUUAGGCCUAAUUGAUCGUAAGAUCGUGCAAGUUCAAGUCUUGUUUUCCCUA
rnacentral:tRNA from 1 species